rnacentral:rRNA from 1 species
AGUGAACGCUGGCGGUAGGCCUAACACAUGCAAGUCGAACGGCAGCACAGUAAGAGCUUGCUCUUACGGGUGGCGAGUGGCGGACGAGUGAGGAAUACAUCGGAAUCUACUUUUUCGUGGGGGAUAACGUAGGGAAACUUACGCUAAUACCGCAUACGACCUACGGGUGAAAGCAGGGGAUCUUCGGACCUUGCGCGAUUGAAUGAGCCGAUGUCGGAUUAGCUAGUUGGCGGGGUAAAGGCCCACCAAGGCGACGAUCCGUAGCUGGUCUGAGAGGAUGAUCAGCCACACUGGAACUGAGACACGGUCCAGACUCCUACGGGAGGCAGCAGUGGGGAAUAUUGGACAAUGGGCGCAAGCCUGAUCCAGCCAUACCGCGUGGGUGAAGAAGGCCUUCGGGUUGUAAAGCCCUUUUGCUGGGAAAGAAAAGCAGCAGGUUAAUACCCCGCUGUUCUGACGGUACCCAAAGAAUAAGCACCGGCUAACUUCGUG